AAUGACGCUGCGGAGGCUAAGACUGCAAGUGAACGGUACGACACUAGCUUACUAGUGGGCGACGAGUGGCGGACGGGUGAGUAACGCGUAGGAAUCUACCUAGUAGUGGGGGAUAGCCAAGGGAAACUUUGGGUAAUACCGCAUACGAUCUAAGGAUGAAAGGGGGCCUCUCUUUGAAGCUCUCGCUAUUAGAUGAGCCUGCGUAAGAUUAGCUCUGUUGGUGAGGUAAUGGCUCACCAAGGCGACGAUCUUUAGCUGGUCUGAGAGGAUGAUCAGUCACACUGGAACUGAGACACGGUCCAGACUCCUACGGGAGGCAGCAGUCGGGAAUAUUGGACAAUGGGGGAAACCCUGAUCCAGCCAUGCCGCGUGUGUGAAGAAGGCCCUAGGGUUGUAAAGCACUUUUAGUAGUGAGGAAGGCUCAGCAGUUAAUACCUGCUGGGAUUGACGUUAGCUACAGAAAAAGCACCGGCUAAUUUCGUGCCAGCAGCCGCGGUAAUACGAAAGGUGCAAGCGUUAAUCGGAAUUACUGGGCGUAAAGCGCGCGUAGGCGGCUUGGUAAGUUGGAUGUGAAAGCCCCGGCGCUCAACCUGGGCAACUGCAUCCAAAACUGCCUAGCUAGAGUAUGGCACAGGAUGGCGGAAUCUCCUGCUGUAGCGGCUGAAAUGCGUA
rnacentral:rRNA from 1 species